UACAGAGGUCCCAAGCGUUGUUCGGAUUCACUGGGCGUAAAGGGUGCGUAGGUGGUGAGGUAAGUCGGAUGUGAAAUCUCCGAGCUCAACUCGGAAACUGCAUUGGAAACUACCUUGCUCGAGGGUUGGAGGGGGGACUGGAAUGCUUGGUGUAGCAGUGAAAUGCGUAGAUAUCAAGCGGAAUACCGGUGGCGAAAGCGACUCUCUGGACGGCAACUGACGCUGAGGCACGAAAGCGUGGGGAGCAAACAGG
rnacentral:rRNA from 1 species